UUAUACAGCCCUGGCCAUCUUCAGCGUUUCGGUAUUAGAAACUAGUAAGAAAGGAGCCAAACAUCAGGAACAAGAUCAAACACCGACCUCACACUCCUGCCAGAAAAAUGAAGCAUUCAGUCGUUAAACGUAAGCCUAAGUCAAGAGGUAAGAAACGGAAGAAAAAAACAAGGAGCUUACAGCAUAUUGCCACCAACAUUGAACCCAGGAGAAGCGAGAAUGCUCAGAUGGAUCAACACUUUCAAAAUCUGCUUGAUGGCAUUCAUAGAGACAUAGAGACCUUCCCUCACCAGUACCUGAAUCUCAACCAUCUCUACCUGGAGGAAUUUAUCCUCUUCCUUUCCCGGAUCCUUUGCUUGGGUUAAAUGGCAAACCAACAUCUCUACCAUUUCUUUAGUUUCCAGAACCUCCUUCUCCAUUACCUCCUUUGUUGGGCAACUUUGUUACAGGAUCUCCACCUGCUCUAGUUAAUAGAAUGAAGUAGAAACAAAUUGAACCUGAAGCUCA